rnacentral:rRNA from 1 species
AGCGAACGCUGGCGGCAGGCCUAACACAUGCAAGUCGAACGAACUCUUCGGAGUUAGUGGCGGACGGGUGAGUAACACGUGGGAACGUGCCUUUUGGUUCGGAAUAACUCAGGGAAACUUGUGCUAAUACCGAAUGUGCCCUUCUGGGGAAAGAUUUAUCGCCAUUAGAGCGGCCCGCGUCUGAUUAGCUAGUUGGUGAGGUAACGGCUCACCAAGGCUACGAUCAGUAGCUGGUCUGAGAGGAUGACCAGCCACACUGGGACUGAGACACGGCCCAGACUACUACGGGAGGCAGCAGUGGGGAAUCUUGCGCAAUGGGCGAAAGCCUGACGCAGCCAUGCCGGGUGAAUGAUGAAGGUCUUAGGAUUGUAAAAUUCUUUCACCGGGGACGAUAAUGACGGUACCCGGAGAAGAAGCCCCGGCUAACUUCGUG